CAUGGGGUGCAAACGUUGCUCGGAAUUAUUGGGCGUAAAGCGCGCGUAGGCGGUUAUCUAAGUUGGAUGUGAAAGCCCUCGGCUUAACUGAGGAAGUGCACCCAAAACUGGAUAGCUGGAGUACGAAAGAGGGUCGCGGAAUUCCCGGUGUAGAGGUGAAAUUUGUAGAUAUCGGGAGGAACACCGGUGGCGAAGGCGGCGACCUGGGUCGAGACUGACGCUGAGGCGCGAAAGCGUGGGGAGCAAACAGGAUUAGAUACCCUGGUAGUCCACGCCGUAAACGAUGGGUGCUAGAUGUUUCUGGUAUUGACCCCGGAGGCGUCGUAGCUAACGCGUUAAGCACCCCGCCUGGGGAGUACGGCCGCAAGGCUA
rnacentral:rRNA from 1 species